CAGGGCUCUCACCCACAACUUCCUCCUGCACAGCUGGCAGAUAUAGGGAACAUGGACCCAACCAUCCUGCUGGCCAGAGGAGCGCCCCUGGGCUUGAGAAGACCAGUACAAAAUGAGGUAAGUGCCUCUCUCCAGGGGCCCAGCAGAAUGAGAGUGAAUUGCUAACUCAGGUGUUUAAAGACCCACACAUCACCUGAGCAUCCCCAAGUGUCGAACACACUAUGUUUGAAUUUUCUGCAUGACUCUUCUUCACUUUCUUCAGAAAACCUGGGGGAAACUGAAGACUUUAUGGAAGAUUCUUCUCAGUUCUGUGGAGAAGAAGGGUGAGGCUAGGGAUAAGUGGAGGGCCAGAGGCAAUGUGAACUUCCAUUUCUGCCCUGGAGUGACAGCACUAAGGUACUUCCCAUAUUACAAGAAUCUGAUUUAUUGAUAACACCAAGGGCUUCAAUCAGAAUUCCACCUGUGUGAGUGACUUAGGUUUAUUUGACCAGGAAUCCUUUCCUUUCCUGUGCUUUAGGGCAAGCACACAGGCAAAAUCCACUGUGCAUUGUUCUUGUACAUCUAAAGUACGGGUAUUGGAGCUGCUUCUUUUGUGUCUGUCUAACUUGUAUUGUUUCCUCAAUGGCUCUAGAAAUAGCUGACCACCUGUACAGAAAUAAUACUGGUCUCCAAGCCUCAGCCAUUGUUUUUAAAAGAGUCCACAACUUGGUGGAGAAUUUACCUAGAGAUUUGCUCUCCAGCCUUGGUUGGUGGUAAACACAAAUAAUAGAUGCAUGAAGAAGGAACUUUCCAGAUUUUCCUGGGUUUUUUUCCUUCUACCUGGGUUUCUAAGAGAAGAUGCUGCUUUGCCCUCUGUUGUCAAGAACCUUCUAUUUUAAAAGUUCCACGUGCUUUUAAAAUGACAUGACUCAGAAAUAUGAUACUGACUUCCUUUGUCUUCACCUAGACUAUAACAGCCUAAAAAAAAAUCAAAUCAAUGCAUUUAACACAUCUAUUUCAUAUGACAGUAAAUGUGGGUUUGGAAUAAAAGUGCAUCUUAUGUAUUUUUUUAAAGAAAUCUUUUUUUGGGGGGCGGGGGUUACUAAUAGGUUUUGCAGGAAGGAGGCAAUUCACAGUCCCUAAAGCACUCUCUCUCUUCUUGGCCCUGUGGGGUUGGCCUUUGAAUAGUCUUAGCUCCCAGGAAUAAAAUACUGAAGCAUAGAUAAGCGGAAAUCUGACCUGAGAAAGAAUAGCAGCUCUGCAGCAUUCCUGGCACUUGUGAGUCUAAUGUGUCUUGCUGGGAGGUUUAGUGUGCACAGAUACUUACAGGUGACAAUUUUGCUGAAACCAAGCCCUGCUUGUUUCUCAUACUCACAGUUCAAAGAGAAAACUGCGUUGAGAAUUGACCACAGCAGCUAGAAAUGCCCACAGAUUCAGUCUCACUUAGUUUCCUAGACAGCCAUUAGGAACAGCUUUAGUUUCAAUAGCCAUUGAGGAAUGCCUCACACUCAACCCCCCUGAAGGAGAUCUCAGGAAGUAAGGCACUCAGAGAGACAGUGGGCGAUUCGUAGGAUGAGAUCAGAGGCCUUGAGACGCUGAGAUCCUGCAGGACCUUAGCUAAGCUGUGGACAACUCUGUUGGCAUUUGAAUAAGUCACCCUGGUUGAUAUCCAACAUCUUUUCCUUAAGCAUUAUUUUCCCCCACAGGAAAAAACAGGUGUUAUUAUUUCCCAACCAUCUUAUGAACUCUGUGUGUGUGUGUGUGUGUGUGUGUCUGUUGGGACUUGAACCCAAGGCUUUGUGCAAUGCUAGGCAAGCAUUUCACCACUGAGCUAUUUCCCAGCCCCUCUAUUGGAUAUUACCCAGUAUACUUUAAUUUCAAUUGUUAAAUUUGAAAUAUAACUAUUAAAUAUAACUAUUUAAUCUGCAGAAUAAGAGACUGUGUGAAUAUAUAUAUGUAUAUAUGUGCAUAUAUAUGCAUAUACAUAUAUAUGAACAAGAGUAGCCCCUGGCAUUAAUCUGAGGACCCUCUCUCAGCAGCACCAACAUUUCAUGUUUGUGGCAGACUAGUAGGGUAUUUAAGUAAGGUGGAUCACAGCUUCUAAAUACCAGAAAAGAAUUUGGCAAGAAGAAAUUUUUAUUAGAGAAUCCAGAAGGGAAAAAAAAAGACUUAACAUUUUAAAAAAUCUAAGCAGGUACCGUGGAACACAUCUAUAAUCCCAGGUACUUGGGAGGCUGAGGCAGGAGGAUAGAAAGUGCUAGGCCAGCCUAGGCACCAUAGCAAGACUCUGAUUCAAAAUGAAAAAUAAAAGGGGCUGGGGAUGUAACCAGUGGUAGAGUACCCCUGGGUUCAAUUCUUCUCCCAGAACAAAUUUAAAAUUAUAAUUAUUUUUCUCAUUACAAAAGUAUUACAUAAAUUGCAAAAAUUAAUAAAUGCAGAGACGUGUAACCAUAAUUCUUCUACCCGAAGGUAGCUGCGAUUAACAUUUGAUGUUUUUGCUUCAGGGUAUAUACACUUUUCACAGCAAGGGGCUCAUGCCGUGUAUGUUGCUUUGUAAAUUACUUCUUUAUUCGAUAACAAAUCUUGAAUUUCUUUCCAAGUCAAAACCAUUUUUCUACAACAACAAUUAAAUAACCAUGAUGUAUUAGAAAUACAUAGCCCUUCUCCUAUAGUUAGACAUUUAGGUUGUUUCCAAUUUUUACUGCUAUAAACAAAAUCACUAUGGACAACUUUGGGGGUAAAUUUUUCUACAAAUUUUUUACUUUUUCCUUGACAUGGAUUUAUGGACCCUAGAAACAGAGUGGAGGAAUUUGGCUGAGACUUUAACUGUAAUACAUUAACUUCCUCCUCUCUUUUCUUCCUCCCUUGUUUAUUUUUCCUUCCUUUUCCAUUUGCAGAUUAUCCAAAGCCCAGAGCAAACAGAGCUCUCAUGGAGCAGUGAGCUCAGGAAAUGCACCAAGGCCCUGAGGAGUGGGCCAAGCCCUGACCCAGUGUGGCCUUCUCUGGGAAUAUCCUGGCAGGACCCUUUCCACUAAUGAACACUUGGCUUCUCCUCGCCUCUUCCCAAUCGAGCUGAGAUUCCUAGAGCCGCAUUGUGAUGGCAGCAACAUCCCUGGUGUGACCUGGAGGUGGAGAUCUCUGUUCUAAAUUCCUCCAGCUGACAAAGUAGAAUGAGCCGGUGGACUUGUUAGGAAGAGUAGCAAGGAAAGGGAAGGACACACAGUCCAUCACAUGAAGUGCUAAGGUCUGUGGUAGGGACUGGGGCCAGUUAGAACUCCAGGGUUUGCAUCCAUUGUCUGAGUCAAGUGAAGCCCACUGCAUGGGGAGUGCCACCUGAAAGACAGGUGGGUCAGCUGGCACUUUCCUGCCGCCUCACAAGUGACAGCGUCCUGGGAAGUCAAGCUGGGGCCACAGACCGGAACUGAAGGAAGUCAGUCAUGUAGUGGAACAUAAGUAAAUCUACAAAAAGGAAAGAGGAAAGGGGAAAAAAUAGGUGGGGUUCAGCACUCCAACCCCAUGGAAGCUGGGUUGCCUGGGGAUCAGGGGCAUUUUACCAAAAAAUACAGAAAAGUUCAUUCCCAGUUGCUCAGUCCAGGCCAGUUUCAUGGUUAAAGCAAGGCUCUGGUCAAAUGUUAACCACUCAGUUAUCCUGGGGGAGGGGGGAUAUAGCCCACCCCCUCAGCUGUCCCUUUUCCCAGCAUUUGGGGAAAAUGAAAGAGUAGGUAAAAUGUGCUUAUUUCCUUUCAUUCUCUAGUGUGGGCAGGGGUUCACAUAAUAGUUGGAAACCAUUUUUAACAGGAAAUCUGAGUGAAUCCAGAAGGGAUUUAUUCACAGAGCUCCCUUGCUACAAAAUGAGUAUUAUUAACCAAAACUUGACUCGUUCCCUCUUCUUUUCUCCUUGUUUAGCUGCCCCCAGCUGCCACCCACCACCGUAGUGGAAAACGAUGGUGGUGAAUAAGAUUUAAAGUUUGAGCCCAGCAGGCUGCCUCCCUAGCCAACAGAAGCCACUGAGAGGAGCUCAUGGCGAAAUGCUAUAUCGCCAUCCAAAAAAAGUCAUUCUAAUUUUCUUAGACUGCAGCUUUGAUCCCAUUUACUGAUGAUGGACUGGGAGAUAUGGUCAGAUGAGUUUGGGGGAGGAUCCAUUAAUCCAGUGUUAUUCCCAUUUAUAAUGUGGUCUUCUGCUAAGUAUUUGUGUUCUAAAAUCUGUUCCCUCUGGGGAUUCUUUCUCUCAGUCCUCUUAGAAAACUGAUGAAAAUAGAUUUGCCAUCCAUUUCCAAAGGGGGUCUUUGCUCCUCUCUGUGGGAGGCCUUUUCUGGGUGGUAGGAACGCACACCUGGCAGAGGAACCCUUUAUUACCUCUCCUCUCACAGAACACAACCCUUCCCUCCGCGAGUCCUUCUCUCUCCCUGUCGCUGAACUUGCUGGACAACCACGAUGCCUCUUUCCUCUGCUCAGGUCACCUAUAUGGAGCUGGCGAGGAUUCCUGAUGGCCGGCAGUGACAGUGGUGGAAUGUGGGGACGAAGAUGACUUCUUCCCAGCGACAGAUUUUCCUUAGCAGAGCUGUGGAGUGUGACAAUGGUGUUUGUGUCCAAACUAUCAAACGCC
rnacentral:lncRNA from 1 species